rnacentral:rRNA from 1 species
GAUGAACGCUGGCGGCGUGCCUAAUACAUGCAAGUCGAGCGAACAGACGAGGAGCUUGCUCCUCUGACGUUAGCGGCGGACGGGUGAGUAACACGUGGAUCACCUCCCUAUAAGACUGGGAUAACUUCGGGAAACCGGAGCUAAUACCGGAUAAUAUCUUGAACCGCAUGGUUCAAUAGUGAAAGACGGUUUUGCUGUCACUUAUAGAUGGAUCCGCGCCGCAUUAGCUAGUUGGUAAGGUAACGGCUUAUCAGGGCGACGAUGCGUAGCCGACCUGAGAGGGUGAUCGGCCACACUAGAGCGGAGACACGGUCCAUACUCCUGCGAUAGGCAGCAGUAGGGAAUCUUCCGCAAUGGGCGAAAGCCUGACGGAGCAGCGCCGCGUGAGUGAUGAAGGUCUUCGGAUCGUAAAACUCUGUUAUUAGGGAAGAACAAAUGUGUAAGGAACUAUGCACUUCUUGACGGUACCUAAUCAGAAAGCCACGGCUAACUACGUG